AGCCUUCUGUAUCCGUGCUGAGAUUUCGUCACAUAACAGACCACAAGGGCUGAGACUUCCGAGAUAAGUGAAGCG
rfam:Schistosoma margrebowiei strain Zambia genome assembly, scaffold: SMRZ_scaffold0001772